UCAAUUCGAUUUUUGUCCCUA
rnacentral:siRNA from 1 species